GAGAGCAGUAAUUGGUCAGAUGGACUGAGAGCCGAGGUCUCGCUCCCCACCCACAUUUACCGGCUUCUGCUGUGUUUACCGACGCUGCUGCUAACAACGUUAGCCUCCAAAAGUGGAGCUAGACUCUACAGCCAUGAUGUGGAUCACUGGGAACAUCUGGUCUGAUGUGAUCUAUGAGCUACAGAGAACAUGAACAUUCAGCUGAGGUUGUCUGAGGUGAAGAGUCUUCUCUCCUUCUUCAUCCCUGUGAGGAAGAGCAGCACUGAUGUCCUCCUCAUCUAUUCCAGUAAUAACAAUAAUGUUGAACUUCAGUUCCUUGUCUUCAUAAAGCACACUUAUCUUAUAACUGUUAAGUAUUUACACUCCACUGUAAGCUGGGCAACACCUUUAUUUCAUCCAUUUAUUACAUACUUUGACACAUUUUUCCAGUUCAGAAUUGUUUAAAUAAUGUAGUUUUUAAAUGUGCAAUAAAGGUGUUAAUGAA